AUAAAUUUAAAUCAGUAGGAACGUAUAAAUAAUGUGCAAUCAAUUAUUAAGCUAUCAGUUUCUGUGCAACAUCGCAAACUUUACUACUAGUGGAUAGUGCUAAUUAAAUGAAAGGUACAUUGCUCACAUUGCUCUGUGCAAUAUUCUUUGCACAGGGGCGUGAGUUUUUAGGUAGCGAUGGCAGAUUAGUAUGCAACUGCGAUCCCGAAGAAGCAAACAACAUUUGCAGUGCAUUAGGCUCUGCAAAUCUGCACGUAGCGCACGAACGUUGUGACAAAUUCUACAAAUGCGCCAAUAGAAAGCCUGUUCCAUUUUGUUGUUCUGAAGGACUCUUCUACAAUCCGGUCAUCGAAGUGUGCGAUUGGCCUCACAACGUUGAUUGUGGAAAUAGAAUAACAAAUCAAGUCCACAAUCGCACCGAAUGUAACGACAAUGAAGGCGAUUGGGAAGGUGAAGACAACGGCAAUGAAAAUGAAAACACUUGCGACUGGGCCCCUAGUGAUGCGCCAUCACUUUGUGCCCUCCCAGCUAAUAAUGGUGGUCUCGUUCCGCACGAAAAUUGCAAUCAAUUUUAUCAGUGUGCGCACGGAAGGCCAGUGGCACAAACUUGUGCCGGCAAUCUUCUAUUCGAUACUUGCGCUAGGCGUUGUGAUUACCCUCACAAUGUAAAGUGCGGAAACCGGGCUAUCCCUGAAAAGGAUGAAAACCCUGGUAACAAUGAGAGUAAGGAAAGCGAUGACAAUGAGCAGACUUGUAAUUGCGAUCCAGCGGAGGCACCAGAGAUUUGUGCGCGACCUGGGUCUGAUAGUAUUCUCAUAGCUCAUGAAAUUUGCCAUAAAUAUUACAUUUGUCUUCACGGUCGUCCAAGGACUAUGGUUUGUAAUAACAAUCUUUUAUUUAACCCUUAUACAAACCAAUGUGAUUGGCCGCAUAAUGUUGAAUGUGGUGACAGACUACUUUGUAAUUGCGAAGAUGGAAAUAACGAUAAAGAAUGUGAUGAAACUAAAAGUGAGGAAAGUAGCCCUGGCGAUGAUGGAUCUGGCGGUGGCGGAGGUGGAGGUGGUGGUGGCGGCGGAAGUGAAGGUGGAGAAGGUGGCGGCGGUGGAGGCGGUGGUGGUGGUGGCGGCGGCGGUGGAGGAGGCGGAGGUGGAGGUGGUGGUGGCGGAGAUGGCUCUUGCAACUGCAACCCUGGUGAAGCUCCAAGUAUUUGCGCUGCCGACGGCUCUGAUGGUGUUUUAAUCGCUCACGAAUAUUGCAAUAAGUUCUAUAAAUGUGACCAUGGACUACCAGUAGCAUUGAAGUGCCCAGGAAAUCUACUUUAUGAUCCGCAUCUAGAAAGAUGCGAAUGGCCUGAUACUGUCGAUUGUGGAGACAGAAUAAUUCCCGAUCCAGAAGACGGAGGCAAUGGUGGCGAUGAGGGAUCUGGUGGUGGAGGAGGAGGCGGCGGCGGUGGCGGCGGCGGAGGCGGCGGUGGUGGCGGAAGUGAAGGUGGGGAAGGCGGUGGCGGUGGAGGCGGUGGUGGUGGUGGCGGCGGAGGCGGAGGUGGAGGUGGUGGUGGCGGAGGUGGCUCUUGCAACUGCAACCCUGGUGAAGCCCCAAGUAUUUGCGCUGCCGACGGCUCUGAUGGUGUUUUAAUAGCUCACGAAUAUUGCAAUAAGUUCUAUAAAUGUGACCAUGGACUACCAGUAGCAUUGAAGUGCCCAGGAAAUCUACUUUAUGAUCCGCAUCUAGAAAGAUGCGAAUGGCCUGAUACUGUCGAUUGUGGAGACAGAAUAAUUCCCGAUCCAGAAGACGGAGGCAAUGGUGGCGAUGAGGGAUCUGGUGGUGGAGGAGGAGGCGGUGGCGGUGGCGGCGGCGGUGGCGGCGGCGGUGGCGGCGGCGGUGGUGGCGGCGGUGGCGGUGGAGGCGGUGGUGGUGGUGGCGGCGGAGGCGGAGGUGGAGGUGGUGGUGGCGGAGGUGGCUCUUGCAACUGCAACCCUGGUGAAGCUCCAAGUAUUUGCGCUGCCGACGGCUCUGAUGGUGUUUUAAUAGCUCACGAAUAUUGCAAUAAGUUCUAUAAAUGUGACCAUGGACUACCAGUAGCAUUGAAGUGCCCAGGAAAUCUACUUUAUGACCCGCAUCUAGAAAGAUGUGAAUGGCCUGAUACUGUCGAUUGUGGAGACAGAAUAAUUCCCGAUCCAGAAGACGGAGGCAAUGGUGGCGAUGAGGGAUCUGGUGGCGGCGGUGGAGGCGGCGGCGGUGGCGGCGGCGGUGGCGGCGGUGGUGGUGGCGGAAGUGAAGGUGGAGAAGGCGGCGGCGGUGGAGGCGGUGGUGGUGGUGGCGGCGGAGGUGGAGGUGGUGGCGGCGGAGGUGGAGGUGGUGGUGGCGGAGGUGGCUCUUGCAACUGCAACCCUGGUGAAGCUCCAAGUAUUUGCGCUGCCGACGGCUCUGAUGGUGUUUUAAUCGCUCACGAAUAUUGCAAUAAGUUCUAUAUAUGUGACCAUGGACUACCAGUAGCAUUGAAGUGCCCAGGAAAUCUACUUUAUGAUCCGCAUCUAGAAAGAUGCGAAUGGCCUGAUACUGUCGAUUGUGGAGACAGAAUAAUUCCCGAUCCAGAAGACGGAGGCAAUGGUGGCGAUGAGGGAUCUGGUGGUGGAGGAGGAGGCGGUGGCGGUGGCGGCGGCGGUGGCGGCGGCGGUGGCGGCGGCGGUGGUGGCGGCGGUGGCGGCGGAAGUGAAGGUGGAGAAGGCGGCGGUGGUGGAGGCGGUGGUGGUGGUGGCGGCGGAGGUGGAGGUGGAGGUGGCGGAGGUGGCUCUUGCAACUGCAACCCUGGUGAAGCCCCAAGUAUUUGCGCUGCCGACGGCUCUGAUGGUGUUUUAAUCGCUCACGAAUAUUGCAAUAAGUUCUAUAAAUGUGACCAUGGACUACCAGUAGCAUUGAAGUGCCCAGGAAAUCUACUUUAUGAUCCACAUCUGGAAAGAUGUGAAUGGCCUGAUACUGUCGAUUGUGGAGACAGAAUAAUUCCCGAUCCAGAAGACGGAGGCAAUGGUGGCGAUGAGGGAUCUGGUGGCGGCGGUGGAGGCGGCGGCGGUGGCGGCGGCGGUGGCGGCGGUGGUGGUGGCGGAAGUGAAGGUGGAGAAGGCGGCGGCGGUGGAGGCGGUGGUGGUGGUGGCGGCGGAGGUGGAGGUGGUGGCGGCGGAGGUGGAGGUGGUGGUGGCGGAGGUGGCUCUUGCAACUGCAACCCUGGUGAAGCCCCAAGUAUUUGCGCUGCCGACGGCUCUGAUGGUGUUUUAAUCGCUCACGAAUAUUGCAAUAAGUUCUAUAAAUGUGACCAUGGACUACCAGUAGCAUUGAAGUGCCCAGGAAAUCUACUUUAUGAUCCGCAUCUAGAAAGAUGCGAAUGGCCUGAUACUGUCGAUUGUGGAGACAGAAUAAUUCCCGAUCCAGAAGACGGAGGCAAUGGUGGCGAUGAGGGAUCUGGUGGCGGCGGUGGAGGCGGCGGCGGUGGCGGCGGCGGUGGCGGCGGUGGUGGUGGCGGAAGUGAAGGUGGAGAAGGCGGCGGCGGUGGAGGCGGUGGUGGUGGUGGCGGCGGAGGUGGAGGUGGUGGCGGCGGAGGUGGAGGUGGUGGUGGCGGAGGUGGCUCUUGCAACUGCAACCCUGGUGAAGCUCCAAGUAUUUGCGCUGCCGACGGCUCUGAUGGUGUUUUAAUCGCUCACGAAUAUUGCAAUAAGUUCUAUAUAUGUGACCAUGGACUACCAGUAGCAUUGAAGUGCCCAGGAAAUCUACUUUAUGAUCCGCAUCUAGAAAGAUGCGAAUGGCCUGAUACUGUCGAUUGUGGAGACAGAAUAAUUCCCGAUCCAGAAGACGGAGGCAAUGGUGGCGAUGAGGGAUCUGGUGGUGGAGGAGGAGGCGGUGGCGGUGGCGGCGGCGGUGGCGGCGGCGGUGGCGGCGGCGGUGGUGGCGGCGGUGGCGGCGGAAGUGAAGGUGGAGAAGGCGGCGGUGGUGGAGGCGGUGGUGGUGGUGGCGGCGGAGGUGGAGGUGGAGGUGGCGGAGGUGGCUCUUGCAACUGCAACCCUGGUGAAGCCCCAAGUAUUUGCGCUGCCGACGGCUCUGAUGGUGUUUUAAUAGCUCACGAAUAUUGCAAUAAGUUCUAUAAAUGUGACCAUGGACUACCAGUAGCAUUGAAGUGCCCAGGAAAUCUACUUUAUGAUCCGCAUCUAGAAAGAUGCGAAUGGCCUGAUACUGUCGAUUGUGGAGACAGAAUAAUUCCCGAUCCAGAAGACGGAGGCAAUGGUGGCGAUGAGGGAUCUGGUGGUGGAGGAGGAGGCGGCGGCGGUGGCGGCGGUGGUGGUGGCGGAGGCGGCGGUGGAGGUGGUAGUGGCGGUGGAGGUGAAGGUGGAGAAGGCGGUGGCGGUGGAGGCGGUGGUGGUGGUGGCGGCGGAGGCGGAGGUGGAGGUGGUGGUGGCGGAGGUGGCUCUUGCAACUGCAACCCUGGUGAAGCUCCAAGUAUUUGCGCUGCCGACGGCUCUGAUGGUGUUUUAAUCGCUCACGAAUAUUGCAAUAAGUUCUAUAAAUGUGACCAUGGACUACCAGUAGCAUUGAAGUGCCCAGGAAAUCUACUUUAUGACCCGCAUCUAGAAAGAUGCGAAUGGCCUGAUACUGUUGAUUGCGGAGACAGAAUAAUACCUGAUUGCAAUGAAGAAGACGGCAGUGGAGGUGGAGGCAGUGGCGGUGGCGGCGGAGGUGGUGAAGGCUCUUGCAAAUGCAACCCCAGUGAAGCCCCAAGUAUUUGUGCUGCUGAAGGAUCUGACAGUAUUCUAAUAGCACAUGAACAUUGCAAUAAGUUCUAUAAAUGUUUCAAUAAGCGACCGGUUCCAUUAAAUUGCCCUGAAGACCUUCUUUAUGAUCCACAUUUAGAAAGAUGCGAAUGGCCUGGUACUGUUGAAUGUGGAGAUAGAAUAAUUCCUGAUAAGAGUGAUGAUCUUAACUUUUGUAUUACAAUAGAACCGAAUGAUGUUAACAACAACACCAACACUAGCCCCAGUGAAGUAAAAGCUAUUUGUGCAAGAGGUAAUUCAGAAGGCACGUUCAUUCCUCAUGAAAAUUGCAAUCAAUUCUAUACGUGCUCCAAUGCUAUUCCCGUUACUUUGACUUGUCCGAGCACUCUACUCUAUAACUUGCUUACCGAAAAAUGUGAUUGGCCACGCUACGUUGAUUGUGGAGAUAGAAAGCUCCAGGGAGACAACGGUAACGGAAACAACAAAGACGAAGAUACAACAGCUGUGAUCUGCUCGAAAAAAGAAUCCGAAGGAGUUUUAGUGGCUCACGAAGACUGCGAUAAAUUUUACAUGUGCUCAUCUGGAAAUCCCGUAACUCUUAAAUGUCCUUCGAACUUAUUCUUUAGCCCAAUCACCCAAACUUGUGAAUGGUCCAAGAAUGUCGAAUGUGGCACUAGAGUCGUUCCAGGUGAGGAAAACGUCAAUACUGGUCCUUGUAACUGUGAUCCGAAACAGGCAUUAUCUUUAUGUGCUCAAGAAGGUUCGAACGGCAAACUUGUAGCCCAUAAUGUGUGUAGCCACUAUCACAUGUGCGUCAGCGGUAAAACAUUAUCACUCGCUUGUCCGUCUAAUCUUUUCUAUGAUCCUCAAAAGGAACGAUGCGAUUUUCCUGCUAAUGUCAGCUGCGAAGGCCGUGUUGCACCAGUGUUCCUACCCCCACUCAACAAACAUUUGGAAGCACGACAAAACAUCAGACACUACUUUUAAAGGACUCUAUGAAAAACUUCUUGGAAAAUUUUAAUCGUUCAUUUUAAAUUAAAAUUAUGUUGCAUCUCAUUAGUCUAUAAAUAUUAGAUUGUUGGCAAGACUGUGAGAUAUUUAACGAAA